rnacentral:rRNA from 1 species
AGAGUUUGAUCCUGGCUCAGGAUGAACGCUGGCGGCGUGCCUAAUACAUGCAAGUCGAGCGAACAGACGAGGAGCUUGCUUCUCUGACGUUAGCGGCGGACGGGUGAGUAACACGUGGAUAACCUACCUAUAAGACUGGGAUAACUUCGGGAAACCGGAGCUAAUACCGGAUAAUAUAUUGAACCGCAUGGUUCAAUAGUGAAAGACGGUUUUGCUGUCACUUAUAGAUGGAUCCGCGCCGCAUUAGCUAGUUGGUAAGGUAACGGCUUACCAAGGCAACGAUGCGUAGCCGACCUGAGAGGGUGAUCGGCCACACUGGAACUGAGACACGGUCCAGACUCCUACGGGAGGCAGCAGUAGGGAAUCUUCCGCAAUGGGCGAAAGCCUGACGGAGCAACGCCGCGUGAGUGAUGAAGGUCUUCGGAUCGUAAAACUCUGUUAUUAGGGAAGAACAAAUGUGUAAAGGCAAUGGCGGUACCUUGACGGUACCUCAUCAGAAAGCCACGGCUAACUACGUGCCAGCAGCCGCGGUAAUACGUAGGUGGCAAGCGUUAUCCGGAAUUAUUGGGCGUAAAGCGCGCGUAGGCGGUUUUUUAAGUCUGAUGUGAAAGCCCCCGGCUCAACCGUGGNNNNNNNNNNNNNNNNNNNNNNNNNNNNNNNNNNNNNNNNNNNGGAAUUCCUGGUGGAGCGGUGGAAUGCGCAGAUAUCAGGAGGAACACCAGUGGCGAAGGCGGUUCUCUGGGCCUUUCCUGACGCUGAGGAGCGAAAGCGUGGGGAGCGAACAGGCUUAGAUACCCUGGUAGUCCACGCUGUAAACGGUGGGUACUAGGUGUGGGGUCCAUUCCACGGGUUCCGUGCCGUAGCUAACGCUUUAAGUACCCCGCCUGGGGAGUACGGCCGCAAGGCUAAAACUCAAAGGAAUUGACGGGGCCCCGCACAAGCGGCGGAGCAUGCGGAUUAAUUCGAUGCAACGCGUAGAACCUUACCUGGGUUUGACAUGGAUCGGGAGUGCUCAGAGAUGGGUGUGCCUCUUUUGGGGUCGGUUCACAGGUGGUGCAUGGCUGUCGUCAGCUCGUGUCGUGAGAUGUUGGGUUAAGUCCCGCAACGAGCGCAACCCUUGUUCACUGUUGCCAGCACGUUAUGGUGGGGACUCAGUGGAGACCGCCGGGGUCAACUCGGAGGAAGGUGGGGAUGACGUCAAGUCAUCAUGCCCCUUAUGUCCAGGGCUUCACGCAUGCUACAAUGGCUGGUACAGAGAGUGGCGAGCCUGUGAGGGUGAGCGAAUCUCGGAAAGCCGGUCUCAGUUCGGAUUGGGGUCUGCAACUCGACCUCAUGAAGUCGGAGUCGCUAGUAAUCGCAGAUCAGCAACGCUGCGGUGAAUACGUUCCCGGGGCUUGUACACACCGCCCGUCAAGUCAUGAAAGUUGGUAACACCCGAAGCCGGUGGCCUAACCGUUGUGGGGGAGCCGUCGAAGGUGGGACUGGUGAUUAGGACUAAGUCGUAACAAGGUAACC